CGGUCUUUAGCUCAGUUGGUUAGAGCAUCGCCCUGAUAAGGCGAAGGUCCGAGGUUCAAAUCCUCGAAGAUCGAC
rnacentral:tRNA from 1 species